GCAUAGCUCAGUUGGUUAGAGCAUGGUGCUGAUAAUACCAAGGUCGCAGGUUUGAUUCCCAUAAGGGACAGCUGCA
rnacentral:tRNA from 1 species